rnacentral:lncRNA from 10 species
AAAAUGGGGAGAGAUUGUGUGUCCCCGGCAUCACUGGACUGUUAAUAGCUAUUGCAUUUAUAGCAUUUAUCCCAGAACCUGAAACACAGUAAAUGCUCAGUAAGUGUUAUUAUUUGCCCCAAACUGUCUUAGUGCUUUCCCCAAGAGCUUUGUGUUGUUUGUACUAUGAGGAAUAAUGAGGGUGGUGUGGGAGUCGGCCUCUGUGUCUGCAGAGAGGACCACAGGCCACAGGAAUAGAGACAGGUAGAUAGGAUCAAGGUGACAGGAACAGAUGUUCAGAGCAAGAGAUGAAGACGGCAUCAUCAACCCAGACAAGCCAGUUGGAGGCAUCUGUCCACCCAUGUGGUUCCAGACACGUUCAUGUGGCCACCAUGACCCCGUCGGCAUCACAGGGGUAACCAAGGUCCACAGAACGAGGGGAAAGGGUCACUGUGGAUCAAGCCAGGCUCCUCUGAGCAGUCCAGGGUCUAUUUACAGAGAGCAGCAAGUUCCUGGGACAGAGGAGACAGAAGGGAAUUUCCAGGUUCUUCAGGACGUUCACAACCACACUGAGAAGCAUCUUUGCAGAUAAGUAUUUAAACUUACC